rnacentral:rRNA from 1 species
CUCUUCGGAGGGAAGUUCGUGGAACGAGCGGCGGACGGGUGAGUAACACGUAGGCAACCUGCCUGUAAGACUGGGAUAACUCGCGGAAACGCGAGCUAAUACCGGAUAACACUUUCUAUCACCUGAUGGAAAGUUGAAAGGCGGCUUUUGCUGUCACUUACAGAUGGGCCUGCGGCGCAUUAGCUAGUUGGUGAGGUAACGGCUCACCAAGGCGACGAUGCGUAGCCGACCUGAGAGGGUGAUCGGCCACACUGGGACUGAGACACGGCCCAGACUCCUACGGGAGGCAGCAGUAGGGAAUCUUCCGCAAUGGACGAAAGUCUGACGGAGCAACGCCGCGUGAGUGAUGAAGGUUUUCGGAUCGUAAAACUCUGUUGUCAGGGAAGAACAAGUCGGGUAGUAACUGACCCGGCCUUGACGGUACCUGACCAGAAAGCCACGGCUAACUACGUGCCAGCAGCCGCGGUAAUACGUAGGUGGCAAGCGUUGUCCGGAAUUAUUGGGCGUAAAGCGCUCGCAGGCGGUUCUUUAAGUCUGAUGUGAAAUCUUGCGGCUCAACCGCAAACGUGCAUUGGAAACUGGAGGACUUGAGUGCAGAAGAGGAGAGUGGAAUUCCACGUGUAGCGGUGAAAUGCGUAGAGAUGUGGAGGAACACCAGUGGCGAAGGCGACUCUCUGGUCUGUAACUGACGCUGAGGAGCGAAAGCGUGGGGAGCGAACAGGAUUAGAUACCCUGGUAGUCCACGCCGUAAACGAUGAGUGCUAGGUGUUAAGGGGGUUUCCGCCCCUUAGUGCUGAAGUUAACGCAUUAAGCACUCCGCCUGGGGGAGUACGGCCGCAAGGCUGAAACUCAAAAGAAU